GAAGAGGGGGAUCUGGCAGGGCUGCUGGGGAGUGGGCUGGCGCUGACACCCGUCUCUCCUGCAGGGUGAUCCGGGAGCACCCGGUGAACCUGGCAAGCCGGCCUCCAGCGUGGCUGGUGUCAAAGGAGAGAAGGGUGACAGAGGCUUUGCGGGACCAGAGGGGCCCCCUGGCCCCAAGGGCAACGCAGGAGAUAAAGGUGCCCCCGGCGCCCCUGGCCUGAGCAUCCCUGGUCCAGCCGGCCCCAAAGGGGAGCAAGGCGACCGGGGUAUCGUUGGCCUCACCGGCAGGAGCGGCCCAAAGGUAAUGGCACUGUGCGAGGUGUCACCCCUCCAUCUGUCCGUCUGUCCAUGCUGCGAGGGG
rnacentral:lncRNA from 1 species